AUAUAUAAUUUGAUUGAUUUCAAGUUUUCAAUUGGUCAUUCCCCAUUUCAAUGCACAAGACACUAUAAUAGAAGAAGAUGAAAACAUGUCAAUUGAGACCAGUUAUAGUCCACGGAGACUAGCAACAGUCACAAAUGUUUAAGAGAUGAAGCUUAGGGAUGGCAAUGGGGAGGGGAGGGGAGGGGAGGGGACCAAUCUCCCCAUACCCAUCCCCGAUAUUUUGCAUAUGUCCCCGUCCCCUCCCCGUCCCCGUCAGAAUUGCUUGAGAGAAUCAUCAUCCCCUCCCCGAAUAAUAACAGGGGAUCCCCGAAUAACUAAUAGUCUAAUACAUUUUUUUAUUUUCGAUUUUAAAUUAAUCAUAUUAAAAUAAAAAAUUCAGAUAAAAAUAAAGUUCAAAAUAUAUCUUACAUUAAUAUUGAUCCAUUACAAAGUCACAUUCAAAAUAUAAAUUAUUAAAAUAAUUAUCUUUAUCAAUGACUCAAUCUUCAUAAUCCUACAAUAAAAAGAAAAAAAAUAUUUUUAUAUCGGCAAUAAAAUAAAUGAAAUAAAUGUAGAUACUUAAUUAAUAUUUUUAAUAAAACUAUUUACUUCCUGCUCAUCCUGCUCCUCUGUUCUUCCUCGAGAAAUGUGGCAAAUUAAGAGAUAGCCUCAGAUUUCAAACCUAAAACAAUGAAAAUAAUAUAAGUAACGUAACUUAUAAGUGCAAAUAUUAAUAAAUGUAUAAUAUAAUUACAAUGUAAAAUAAACUCAUACUGCUAUUGUAAGCUCGUAACCAACUUUGACAGCACAUUAAGGCCUCCAAUGUACUUGGAUAAAGUUUGUUACCGUAUGGGCUCACAACUCUACCACUGGUGCUAAAAGCUGAUUCAGAAGCAACUGUUGUAAUUGGAAUUGCCAAAAUAUCUCUAGCAAUUCGAGCUAAUGUAGGAUACCUAUUAGCAUUUGUCUUUCACCAACUCAAAAUAUUAAAAUCUUCCAUCCGGGGUAUAACUUUCUCAUCCAAAUACGAAUCUAAUUCAUCUGCAACAACUGCACAAUCUCCAUUGUUUCCAUAAUCAUCAAAACCUGUCAUCCAUUUGGUUGCUUUCUUAUAAGAAUCCCCUGUAGAUCUAGUAGAAGAACUACUACCAGUAUAAUCAAAGCAAUAAACAGUUGGUGAAAACUUCAAUUAAUACUCUUCAACUAAUUCCCGGCAAAGGGUGACCACUUUCCCAACAUACAACUAUUUUGAUAUUUAUUAUUUUUAACAAUAUUUAUAAUUUUGUUAUUUCUUUAUUAGUAAUUUUAAAAAUAAAAAUAAAAUAAAAAAUUAAAAUAGGGAAAUGGGUAGGGGAUGGGGAUUCCACCUCAUCCCCGUCCCAUCCCCGAAUAAAAAAUUAGGUAUAAAAUUAUCCCCGUACCCUCCCCGAAUGGAGAAAAUCCCCGAGAGUACCCGUCCCCGUAGGGAUUUUUGCCAUCCCUAAUGAAGCUUGUUCUAAAUACGAUCCCUAUAUGGGUAACUUCAUUGACAUUUAGAAUUAGUGUAGCACAAGCAUCAACAUCCUCUGUUAAACAAGG
rnacentral:lncRNA from 1 species